rnacentral:tRNA from 2 species
GCGGGGAUAGCCAAGCCUGGCCAACGGCGAUAGACUCAAGAUCUAUUCUCGAAGGAGUUCGUCGGUUCGAAUCCGGCUCCCCGCA